rnacentral:rRNA from 1 species
UACAGAGGUCCCAAGCGUUGUUCGGAUUCACUGGGCGUAAAGGGUGCGUAGGCGGUGAGGUAAGUCUGACGUGAAGUCUCCGGGCCUAACCCGGAAACUGCGUUGGAUACUAUCUCGCUAGAGGAAUGGAGGGGAGACUGGAAUACUUGGUGUAGCAGUGAAAUGCGUAGAUAUCAAGUGGAACACCAGUGGCGAAGGCGAGUCUCUGGACAUUUCCUGACGCUGAGGCACGAAAGCCAGGGGAG